AGGGGGUUUGAUCAUGGCUCAGAGCGAACGCUGGCGGCGUGGAUAAGGCAUGCAAGUCGAGCGAUCCCUCGCAAGAGGGAUAGCGGCAAACGGGUGAGGAACACGUGGGCAAGUUGCCCUCGCGAAUGGGAUAACUUGGUGAAAACCAGGCUAAUACCGUAUAUGCUCGCAGCAUCGCAUGAUGCAGCGAGGAAAGGUGGCGCGGCCGAAAGGCUGCCAUCGCGCGAGGAGGCGCCUGCGUCCCAUCAGCUUGUUGGUAGGGUAACGGCCUACCAAGGCGUAUGACGGGUAGCUGGCUUUAGAGGGUGGUCAGCCACACUGGGACUGAGACACUGCCCAGACUCCUACGGGAGGCUGCAGUCGAGAAUAUUUGGCAAUGGGCGAAAGCCUGACCAUGCGACGCCGCGUGCGGGAUGAAGGUUCUCGGAUCGUAAACCGCUGUUACGAGGGACGAACGUAUUUGCUGCUAAUAGUGGCGAAUACUUGACGGUACCUCGAGAGAAAGCCACGGCUAACUCCGUGCCAGCAGCCGCGGUAAUACGGAGGUGGCAAGCGUUGCUCGGAUUUACUGGGUGUAAAGGGCACGUAGGCGGUCCUGUAAGCCCUGCUUGAAAGGAUCCGGCUCAACCGGGCCAUGUGGUAGGGAACUGUAGGACUAGAGGAUGACAGAGGCAAGCGGAAUUCCCGGUGUAAGGGUGAAAUCUGUAGAUAUCGGGAGGAACACCAGUGGCGAAAGCGGCUUGCUGGGGUCAUUUCUGACGCUGANGUGCGAAAGCUAGGGGAGCAACAGGAUUAGAUACC
rnacentral:rRNA from 1 species